rnacentral:misc_RNA from 1 species
UUUCCGUAGGUGAACCUGCGGAAGGAUCAUUAGUGAAUUUAGGGAGUCCCUCUUAAUCAGAGAAGGCCCGAUACACUAUUUUUUACACACUUGUGCAAUUGUCCCCUUUUUUACACACUUUAUGCAUUAUAACUAGUCCCUUUGAAUGAAUGAUAAUGAAAGAAAAACUUUCAGCAAUGGAUCUCUUGGCUCUCGCAUCGAUGAAGAACGCAGC